GACGAACGCUGGCGGCGUGCUUAACACAUGCAAGUCGAACGGAAAGGCCCCUUUGGGGGUACUCGAGUGGCGAACGGGUGAGUAACACGUGAGUAACCUGCCCUUGACUUCGGGAUAACUUCAGGCAACUGGGGCUAAUACCGGAUAGGAAUCCUUGCUGCAUGGUGGGGGUUGGAAAGCUUCGGCGGUUUUGGAUGGACUCGCGGCUUAUCAGCUUGUUGGUGGGGUUGUGGCUUACCCAGGCUUUGUAGGGUAGCCGGCCUGGGGGGGCGACCGGCCACAUUGGGGAUGAGAUACGGCCCAGACUCCCACGGGGGGCAGCAGUGGGGAAUAUUGCACCAUGGGCGGAAGCCCGAUGCAGCAACGCCCCGGGGCGGAUGACGGGCUUCGGGGUGGAAACCGGUUUGAGCAGGGGCGAAGCUUGUGGUGACGGUACCUGCAGAAGAAGCACCGGCUAACUACGUG
rnacentral:rRNA from 1 species